AGCCCUUGCAAUUCGAGGGCAUAUAACAGCCUGAGCCGAGCAUUUUAAAUUAUUUUACAUCGUGAAGUGUGCUUUUGCUGGUGGUCGUGAAUAUCAUCAAGGAGUUAAGUUUUUAAUCCCUUUGAAUCGGAUGCUGAAGUCCAGCCCACUACUUCCCAAGUUCAGACGCAGAAGAAAAAACGGAGCAAGCCUGCUAAAGCUUCGAAGCCCAAGUUAUCUUCGAAGUCGAAAAAACGCAUUGUUGAGAGCGACUCUGAAUCGGAGACUGAUCGUGCAUCGACAGCUUUACUUGUACUUACUCCUAGAAAACGAAAGGCCCGUCUAUUUUUAGAUUCUUAGGAUGAAGAACGCGAACCUGUGCGAGCAGCAACAUUAAAAAGUUAUAUAUAUUUCACGUCGAACAGGCGCGGGUUACACUCACCUGUUAGAAGAGGAGAAUAUUAUAUAGAAGUCAGAAUAUCAAAUUUCAGGGAGCUAGAGGCAAUUGAAACCAAUCGCUGGCAGCAUUCGUUCAUCAGUUUUAAAACUGCUGUCGAUGAUAAGACGCCAACUCGGAAUGCUCUCAUCUAACUAAUAUCCGUCCGAGAAGAUUACAAAACCGUGCAGCGAAUUCUAUAUCCAGCCAAACGUUAAAACAUAUUAUUUGAUGACAUUUACAUUUUAAGUUUAUAUUAUUUUCUAUUGCAUAGUGUCAUAUGAUAUGAUAUGGGGUCCU